GCGGGCGUGGCGGAACUGGUAGACGCACUGGAUUUAGGUUCCAGCGCCGCAAGGCGUGGAGGUUCGAGUCCUCUCGCCCGCA
rnacentral:tRNA from 1 species